GCUCCUUCUCGUCCUCUUCCCCCCGAAAAUUCGCACCAAAAAAAAUCGAACCCCAAAAGACCAAAAAACCCUAACCGCUCCGAUCGAAUCAUUCAUCCAAGGGUCGCAGCCCGCGGCCAUGCCUCAGGCGACCGCCGCGGCCCAAGAUCGCUUCCCCUGCUGAUACAGCCAGCGCCGUUCAUUUCUUCGAGUCGAUAUGAGGGCCGCUCCGACCGAUCCGUCCACGGCGCCUGCGCCGGCACCGGCGAGGUCGAUGCUGAAGCGGCUGUUCGAUCGCCAACUCCUGCGGAUCUCGCCAGCGGAGCGGCUACCGUCAGCUGCGGCAGCGGGAGAGAAGGAUGAGGCGGAGCCGAGCUCCGUGUGCCUGGACGGCAUGGUUCGAAGCUUCUUGGAGGACGGCGUCGGCGCGGGCGCCGAGAAGCCAGGCCACGGCGGGCGGUACUGCAACUGCUUCCACGGAGGCGACAAUUCCGACGACGAGGAGGACGAGGAAGCUGCGGCGGCGGCCUCCGACGUCGCGGAGACGAUCAAGGGCCUCGUCCACUGCGCGACGCUCCGGGAACGCAACCUCCUCGCCGACGUCUGCGCGCACCUGGAGCGCCACCGCGCGGCGGGUGCGCGCCGGCGCGACCUGCUCCGCCUCGUCGCCGCCUCGCUCCGCGCCGCGGGGCACGACGCCGCCGUCUGCGUCUCCCGCUGGGACAAGUCCCCCUCCCACCCCGCCGGCGAGCACGCGUACGUCGACGUGCUCCUCCCGGCGGCGUCCGACCGCGGCGCGCGGGAGCGUGUCCUGGUGGACGUGGACUUCCGGUCCGCGUUCGAGGUGGCGCGGCCGACCAAGGCGUACCGGUCCCUGCUGCAGCGGCUGCCGGCGGUGUUCGUGGGCAAGGACGACCGGCUCCGCCUCCUCGUGGCCGCCGCCGCCGACGCCGCGCGCGCCAGCCUGAAGAAGCGCGGCCUGCACCUCCCGCCGUGGCGCAAGCCCGAGUACAUGCGGGCCAAGUGGCUGUCCCCCCACGACCGCGAGGCGCCGGCGGCCGAAGAGGCCGCCUCCGCCGCCGGGGCGGGCGAGGUCGACGUUGAGGGAACCGCCGCCGCGUGACGAGAGGCCGUUCUUGGAAUUUUUGUCUUCGGAGAGGGUCUAGCUGCGAAAGUUUUUUGGGGUGGUAUUUUGGACUACGAAGUGAGAGAGCUGUUGUGCACGCAGCGCUAACGCCUACCAGUAAACAAGGAAUUCUGCGCAGGAGAUAUUAUUGCAAUUGGGUGCUUGAAGAGAAGGAUAAAUUCCUCUGAAUUCCAGAUGAGGUUGUUGAACUGUCAUCUGGCAUAUGCUCCCGGGGAAAAAAAAUAUUCCCCAACCUCCCAUGACAAUAAAAAUAUAAUAAAAAAGAUAGGAAAAAAAAAACCAAGGUGGCUGUACUGUGGAAGGCACCGAGCCCAGGUGCUGGUUGUUGGGAGGGAAGGGAGAUGACGGCAAGUGGGUGGUAAUUUUUCCAACCCGCUUCUGGAGGUCGCCCAUGUUUUCUUUUAAAAAAAAUAUAUGUGUGGAUGGGGUUCUCCAAAUUUUAGAAGUUUUUGUUCCUGUUCGAUUC